UUCCAUCAAAGGUGGAUCUGAACAGAUAAGACUCCUGACUCCCAAAGAAGAUAACAUGACAACUGAACUGCUGGCCCGAGCCCUUUCCUAGAGAUAGGUACAGCAGUAUACCCGUGUGCAGUCAACUGCAGGAUCAAAGCACCACUGGGCAUAAUUCCUAAUUGCUGUGAGUGAGUCUCCUUGACUUCAUUGUGACUAUUUGCUUAACUAAAGGGAGUAGAGAUGAAGCUCCUUGGCCCAGAAAAGUUUGAAUGCCGCUGAAUGCACAGACCAGUUGGUACGGCACGCCAGGACAACUGGAUCCCCUGGAUGGAAGCAGGAUCUUGAAGCAGGGCCAGACGAACUUCUUUCAGACUCAUGGCCCCUACACAAUGAUGAACAUCAAGCAAUCUUUGAUUUAUUUAUUGGUGGAGCCCAAGGUCCAGUGUGCUUCAGCAGCUGCUCUGGGAAUUACAAGUUAUGGACUACAAACUGCAGCG